AUCGGAUUGAUACUAAGCCAUGCGAGUCAUUGUAGUAAUACAAGGCAGACGGCUCAGUAACGCGUAGUCAACCUAACCUAUGGACGGGGAUAACCUCGGGAAACUGAGAAUAAUACCAGAUAGAACAUUAUGCCUGGAAUGGUUUAUGUUUAAAAUAAUUUAUUGCCGUAGGAUGGGACUGCGGCCUAUCAGUUUGUUGGUGAGGUAAUGGCCCACCAAGACUAUUACAGGUACGGGCUCUGAGAGGAGUAGCCCGGAGAUGGGUACUGAGACACGGACCCAGGCCCUAUGGGGCGCAGCAGGCGAGAAAACUUUGCAAUGUGCGAAAGCACGACAAGGUUAAUCCGAGUGAUUUCUGCUAAAGGAAUCUUUUGUCAGUCCUAGAAACACUGUUGAAUAAGGGGUGGGCAAGUUCUGGUGUCAGCCGCCGCGGUAAAACCAGCACCUCAAGUGGUCAGGAUGAUUAUUGGGCCCAAAGCAUCCGUAGCCUGCUUUGUCAGUUUUCGGUUAAAUCCAUACGCUCAACGUAUGGGCCGCCGGAAAUACUGCAAAGCUAGGGAGUGGGAGAGGUAGACGGUACUCGGGAGGAAGGGGUAAAAUCCUUUGAUCUCUCGAUGACCACCUGUGGCGAAGGCGGUCUACCAGAACACGUCCGACGGUGA
rnacentral:rRNA from 1 species